CCUACGGGCGGCAGCAGUAGGGAAUUUUCGGCAAUGGGGGGAACCCUGACCGAGCAACGCCGCGUGAGUGAGGAAGUAUUUCGGUAUGUCAACCUCUGUUAUAAAGGAAGAACGGUGCUUGUAGGGAAUGACAUGCAAGUGCCGGUACUUUAUGAGUAAGCCACGGCUAACUACGUGCCAGCUGCCGCGGUAAUACGUAGGUGGCGAGCGUUAUCCGGAAUUAUUGGGCGUAAAGAGGGCGUAGGCGGCAGCGAAGGUCUGCGGUGAAAGCCCGAAGCUAACCUUCGGUAAGCCGUGGAAACCGAGCAGCUAGAGUGCAGUAGAGGAUAGUGGAAUUCCAUGUGUAGCGGUGAAAUGCGUAGAUAUAUGGAGGAACACCAGUGGCGAAGGCGACGAUCUGGGCUGCAACUGACGCUCAGUCGCGAAAGCGUGGGGAGCAAAUAGGAUUAGAUACCCCAGUAGUC
rnacentral:rRNA from 1 species